rnacentral:rRNA from 1 species
CCUACGGGAGGCAGCAGUGAGGAAUAUUGGUCAAUGGGCGAAGGCCUGAACCAGCCAAGUCGCGUGAGGGAAGACUGCCCUAUGGGUUGUAAACCUCUUUUAUGAGGGAAGAAAAAUGACUACGUGUAGUCAGAUGCCAGUACCUUGUGAAUAAGCAUCGGCUAACUCCGUGCCAGCAGCCGCGGUAAUACGGAGGAUGCGAGGGUUAUCCGGAUUGAUUGGGUUAAAGGGGUGCGUAGGCGGUAUUUUAAGUUAGUGGUAAAACGUCGGGGCUUCACCUUGAUUGGCCAUUAAAACUGGAGUACUAGAGUACAGACGAGGUAGGCGGAAUAAGUUAAGUAGCAGUGAAAUGCUUAGAUAUAACUUAGAACCCCGAUAGCGAAGGCAGCUUACCAGACUUUUACUGACGCUGAAGCACGAGAGAGUGGGUAGCGAACAGGAUUAGAUACCCGGGUAGUU